rnacentral:rRNA from 1 species
AUGAACGCUGGCGGCGUGCCUCAUACAUGCAAGUCGCGCGAACAGACGAGGAGCUUGCUCCUCUGACGUUAGCGGCGGACGGGUGAGUAACACGUGGAUAACCUACCUAUAAGACUGGGAUAACUUCGGGAAACCGGAGCUAAUACCGGAUAAUAUAUUGAACCGCAUGGUUCAAUAGUGAAAGACGGUUUUGCUGUCACUUAUAGAUGGAUCCGCGCCGCAUUAGCUAGUUGGUAAGGUAACGGCUUACCAAGGCAACGAUGCGUAGCCGACCUGAGAGGGUGAUCGGCCACACUGGAACUGAGACACGGUCCAGACUCCUACGGGAGGCAGCAGUAGGGAAUCUUCCGCAAUGGGCGAAAGCCUGACGGAGCAACGCCGCGUGAAUGAUGAAGGUCUUCGGAUCGUAAAACUCUGUUAUUAGGGAAGAACAAAUGUGUAAGUAACUAUGCACGUCUUGACGGUACCUAAUCAGAAAGCCACGGCUAACUACGUG